UAGCAUCAGCACCGCGAUCUCCGCGGGAUGGACUCAGCGCUGGGUCGCGGCAAACCGGAGCCUGACCCGGCAGCACAGGGCGCAAGGCUGGAGGGGGAGGGGACACACCCAGGACAGGACGCCAGUCCAUCACAAGACACCCCAAGCAGGACUCGAACCCCAGACCCACCAGAGAGCGGGACCUGGCCAGACCUGCUGCACCACCGCACCCCCCCUUGGAUGUGAAUGUAUCCUAAACUAAAUUUAAGAACUCUUCACUUUUCCUUACGGCUUGGCAGCCGGUAUUUGCUAGAACACAUGGCUUUGUACAUGAAUAUAGAAUGAUUUUGCAACGACUCCAG
rnacentral:lncRNA from 1 species